UGGGUGGCGAGUGGCGGACGGGUGAGGAAUACAUCGGAAUCUACUUUUUCGUGGGGGAUAACGUAGGGAAACUUACGCUAAUACCGCACACAACCUACGGGUGAAAGCAGGGGACCUUCGGGCCUUGCGCGAUUGAAUGAGCCGAUCUCGGAUUAUCUAGUUGGCGGGGUAAAGGCCCACCAGGGCGACUAUCCGUAUCUGGUCUGAGAGGAUGAUCACCCACACUGGAACUGAGACACGGUCCAGACUCCUACGGGAGGCAGCAGUGGGGAAUAUUGGACAAUGGGCGCAAGCCUGAUCCAGCCAUACCGCGUGGGUGAAGAAAGCCUUCGGGUUGUAAAGCCCUUUUGUUGGGAAAGAAAUCCAGCCGGCUAAUACCUGGUUGGGAUGACGGUACCCAAAGAAUAAGCGCCGGCUAACUUCGUGCCAGCAGCCGCGGUAAUACGAAGGGUGCAAGCGUUACUCAAAAUUACUGGGCGUAAAGCGUGCGUAGGUGGUUGUU
rnacentral:rRNA from 1 species